GCGGAAGUAGCUCAGUUGGUAGAGCAUCACCUUGCCAAGGUGAGGGCCGCGGGUUCAAGUCCCGUCUUCCGCUCCA
rnacentral:tRNA from 1 species